UCUAACAUCUUACUGCACCUUUAAUACCUGCACCUACAUCUUUACAGACUUUGUCAUCAGGAGCCUAUGCAAUAUUUGUGUCUCUCUUUCUCACAGUUUGUGCACAUGGCCCGUUGUACCCACGUAUCAUGGGUGGUGAUGAUGCCCAGAAGAAGGCGUGGCCGUGGAUAGUUAGUUUGCACGAUCCCACCUGCCAUUUUUGUGGAGGUUCCCUCAUCAGCAGUCAGUGGGUGCUGUCGGCAGCUCACUGUUUCAUUGGGGAUGAUUACAUUGUUACUGAGGACACCUGUACGUGUGUACUUGGGAAAGAUGACACAGCAGAGGAAAAAAUAAGAAGGAAAUUGUGAGAAAUGUACAAAGUAUCCACAUUCAUAACGGCUACGAUCGGUUGACUGACAAUUCUGACAAUGACAUCGCUCUGCUGCACUUGUCUGAUAAAGUCAAGUUUAAUAAAUAUAUUAGUCCAGUGUGUCUGAUAGCUCACAGCAGUGAUUUCCCUACUGGCACCAGUAGUCGGAUCAUAGGCUGGGGACAAACUGCAAAUCAAGUGAAUGUACCUUAUCCUGGGGCUCUGCAGCAGGCUGACGUUUUUGUGGAGGACUAUAAUCAGUGCCAUAACAACCUGACACAAUGUAUUAAUCACCACAUCCAGUGGGGAAUACAGACAAAUGCACAAGUCACCAACAAUAUGAUUUGUGCUGGCGUUCAUGGCGGUGGCAUAGACACACUCCUAGUAUAACAACAUGAUUAUUAUUACUUGUCACUGCAAUGUCUGUUAAGAUUUACUGUAUCUUUAAACAUCUAACACUUAAACAUCUAAUACUUUACACACAUUACAGUACACUUACAAUAUCUCACUAUGUUCUAUCCACACUCCUAUACUUUAACCAUUUUGGCCAGUACUUGUAAAAUGUAUCCAUGUUUAAUCUUUGAGAGAAGGUGAGUUUCUCCUUAUCAUACAUAUCUUUUACAAUCAUUAUCCAUUCUUCUUUUGUUGGUGGAUUCUCAUGCAACCAUUUCUUAGUUAUUACUUUUUUACUAGCAACCAAUAAUAGUUUGAGUAGGUACUUAUCUUGUGUAUUAAAAUCAGUUGGUAUGUUUCCUAAAUAUAUGAUACCAAAGCUGUUCUCAAUUUCGAAUCCCAAUAUCAAUUUUCAGUGGUUACCUCUAACCAAUACGAUUGAAUUGCUGGACACUUCCAAAAUAUGUGAAAGUAAUCAGCCAUGGAAUUAUUACAUUGUUUCCAACAGAGUGCAGAUUCCAGAUUACCAUCCUGUAAAUGUUUUCUUUUUGGAGUAAUAAAAAAAUCUUAUUAUAUUCUUCCAUGAGAAUUCUCUCCACUGACCUGAGCUGGAGGUAGUAUACUGUGUUUUACAAAUGUUUAACCAUUCUUCAUCAGAUAAAAAUGCUUCCUUCUACUAAGCAAAGUCAGCAACAGACUCAUGCAGGUGCAGUAUGACAGAAUAUUUGCAGAGACGGUUAUUUUAACAUAAUUAUGUAUGUGUCCAGGGCCAGAUUGGGACUCAUUUUCAGCCCUGGAGUUUCAUGCCUUAGACCGGCCCACUUUAAUUCACGACUGACUAUAUUAAAAUAAUGUAAUUAAAACCUCAGUAUAUAAGUCUGCAAUAGUGCACUGUUCUCUACAGCCUUGUAAAUAAUUGUAUUUUUCAAAAAUAUCUUCAAAUACCCAUGAUAGUACAAAUGAUAGUACAAAAAAAUGCUAAAAUUUGAUAUAGAGUUAUUUUUAUAGUUAUAAUAAUGAUUUUAUAAUGUGCACCACUGAUUAAUUCUCUAGCCAUCUAGUGGCUGUAGUUAAAAAUUCAUGUUAUUUGCUUUCCAGUAGAUGGCAGUAAUCAUCCACUAAACCCAGACACAUUUUUCAUGUCUAUCACUAUGAAUGAAAUUUAGAAAUGUAGAUCUUUAUUAAAGUGGAUUUAACAUAAAAUUUUGCUAUUUUAUAUAAAUGCAUA